rnacentral:rRNA from 1 species
CAAAGCAGUGAUGCAGAGCAAAUCCCCAAAAGCAGUCUUAGUUCGGAUUGUAGGCUGCAACUCGCCUACAUGAAGUCGGAAUUGCUAGUAAUCGCGGAUCAGCAUGCCGCGGUGAAUACGUUCCCGGGCCUUGUACACACCGCCCGUCACACCAUGGGAGUCGGUAACACCCGAAGCCUGUAGUCUAACCGCAAGGAGGACGCAGUCGAAGGUGGGAUUGAUGACUGGGGUGAAGUCGUAACAAGGUACC